rnacentral:rRNA from 1 species
UACGUAGGGGCCUAGCGCUGUCCGGAAUCAUUGGGCGUAAAGAGCUCGUAGGCGGUUCGGCAAGUCACGUGUGAAAUCUCCACGCUUAACGUGGAGGCGCCACGUGAAACUGCCGUGACUCGAGUCCGGUAGGGGAGUGUGGAAUUCCCGGUGUAGCGGUGAAAUGCGCAGAUAUCGGGAGGAACACCAGUAGCGAAGGCGGCACUCUGGGCCGGUACUGACGCUGAGGAGCGAAAGCGUGGGGAGCUAACAGG